CAGCCGCCGCGGUAAUGCGAAGGGUGCAAGCGUUAAUCGGAAUUACUGGGCGUAAAGCGUGCGCAGGCGGUUGUGUAAGACAGGUGUGAAAUCCCCGGGCUUAACCUGGGAACUGCGCUUGUGACUGCACAGCUAGAGUAUGGCAGAGGGGGGUGGAAUUCCACGUGUAGCAGUGAAAUGCGUAGAGAUGUGGAGGAACACCGAUGGCGGAGGCAGCCCCCUGGGCCAAUACUGACGCUCAUGCACGAAAGCGUGGGGAGCAAACAGGAUUAGAUACCCCUGUAGUCCCUGUCUCUUAUAC
rnacentral:rRNA from 1 species